GGUUCGUUCUGAGGCUCUUCUUGGGCUUUGUUUGGCAGAAUUGAGACCGGUAAGUUCCUAUCUGAGUCACUUAGGCCCUGUGCUUGGGCCCAAUCUAAUAACGAAUAACCUUCCAGAGGCAUCAGAAUGUAAGUCAGGCAUGUUUUCUGACUCAUGGUCUCCCUGGAAUGCCCUUUAGUUCCCUUUAGGCGUGUCUUGCUUCCAGGCUCCUUAGGAAAUGUCAGAGGGCUCUGACCUAAGGCAGCUCGGGCUGGGCUUCCUCCAGCACCUCUAAAAAGACCCAGGGAUCGGGGUGCAGUGGGGUCACGGAGUAGCCAGCUCAUACAUGGAUCUGCUCAGAGCUGGUCAACGGUCGAGGAAUUUCACAGAAGAGAUAGAAACGAAUCCCUGCCAUUGCUCUGACUGAGGUCCCAGGCAGUGUUUAUGAUUCCUGGGCCAGGCUCUCAUCUGCCCUUUAUUAAACACCCAGCCCAGUUGGUUGUGAGCACCAGGGGGCAGAGGAAGGUGAGGAGUCAAGAAGGUUUUUGGAGAUAAGGCAGACGGGGUCAGCAUCACAGGCCGUGGACUGCAGACUCGAAGUUUGACUGGCAUAUAGAAAUGCAGCUGCGCGCACUGAAUCCGAAUUGCCCUCCGAGACUGUAGGACCUGAAGACCGUCGUCUUGAGGGAGAGAGGGCCUGCAACCCCUAGAGCUGGGGACAACACUGUGAGAAUGAGAGGAAGUGGAGAUUAUUGUGGACUAGAAGUAUUUCUGAAGCUCUUUUGAGCAGCUGGGACUGAAUGAAAGGAUUUCACAGCUUCUUUCAGAAGAUUAUCAUCCUGCACUUGGUAGAGGGAGAAGGUGGUGCGUACCAGUCUCGGGCCACUGCGUGAGCAUGCCCGGGUCUCUUCUGCUCAGGAGUCAAAAGCAAUGCUGCAGAACUCUUCUACCAUGUCUCUGAGGCUGUCUGGGGUCCACAUGACGCUCCAAGGAUGACUUGUCUCCUCCUCAAGAAACUCGGAGCUCGAGUGCCCUUUCACAAAUGGGAAAAUGGGCAGGUAUUGGGCCUGUUGGGGGAGAUGGCUGGUUCGGGCUGGCCCAGACAUCCUUCUCCCUCUGCCUCUGACUGUUUGUUUCCAAGUCACCUUUAAUGCUGUAAACCACUGCUUGUCACUUUGCCAAAUUACUUUGCUCUUACUUAAGCGUGAUUCAUGCACUGGAUGUUUUUGACAUUUGAAAAUUACUUGGCUCUUUGGGCAAUUUUCUUGUUUGCCUUCAAGAAAAUGCCUGCAGUUCUCUAUUUCUCUUGGGGAAAGGUGAGACCCAGGAUGCAGGUAAUGAAGUGGCUGAACUGCCAGGUGUUGGGUCUGAUGAACUUGGAGGGUGUGGCUGAGUUAUAAGGCUUUUGCUCCUAAGCAGAUCGGGGCAGCUCCUCAACCCUGUGUGAGGGAUCAUUUGUGAGUAAAAAUUAUUCAUCUGCAGAAUCACAUUCCCCCUGAGUUGGCCAUAGAGGUCAUCCCUAUGCAGAAGCCAACCAUGGGGCCAGCCCGUGGCCAGGGAAGGCACUUGGGUGGCACCUAGCCUACCUGCUUCUGUCCUAGCAAUGCCCACACGCUGUGUGAUCUUUUCCUCUGUGGCCAAGGGCCAAUCACUCCAGACCCAUGGACAUGGUUGUUGCAGUAUUGUCUUUCCACUCCACUGAGCCAGAACGGCCAUUACUGGGGAGAGGUUGCUAAUUGGAUUUCAUGUAAUUACCCACUCACUUAUUAAGAUCCACCUCCCUCCCCCCCCAAAUAAACCACCCCCUUUCCAAUGCCAAAACUGAGUUUAUACCACUGCAGGAGGCAGAAUUCAGAAUAACCUGGUCCCCACCUUGAAGGAAACCAUUGAUCUACCAGGGAAAGGCACAGAUUCAUGGUCAUGUACAACUGCUCAUCCCUAGAUGCUAGCUAAUUUUCCCAUUAGUUCCCUAUUUAAAUUGUCCGUUGCUCUCCACUGAAAUCCAGUGCUCUGAACUUGGCAUUCAAGGCCCUGGGUUUGUCCUAGCUACCCUCCCUCCCUUUGUAUGGUUUCCCAUCCUUCCUCAUGCAUUCCAGGUGAGGAGUGGGUACCCUGCUGUGGGGUGAGAUGGCAUCGGCCAAAGAGAUAAGGAACCAAGGCUAUAAACAGGUGAUUUCACUUUUCGAAUGAUCCGAAAAAAGGCUACUGCUCUCAUAGAUGCCUGUGAACCCCACCACUGAGCUCCUCAGCCCUCCCAGCUGUGGUGUUCCUCAGAUGGAGUUCACUCCAUGAAAGCACCAGAAAACAGGGCUCUUGACGACAGGGUAAAGGAUUAGGGAUAAUUUCAUUUCAGAAGGAAGAGGCUGAGGAGGGACUUAAUUGUCUCUGAAGGAUGCUCCUGAGGAGCACAAAGGUGAGCUGUUCUCCAUCUCACCAAGGGAGAGAAGACAAAGUGGAUCCCAAAGGUGCGAGCAAAGUUGCCGGUGAGCUCCCCGCCUGGAGGGUGCAGGGAGACUCGGCUGGAGGGUGGGCGGCUCUGGAGGGGACGCUGUGGGAGAAAGCAAUAACCCAGCCCUCUCCUUGAAAGAAAAUUUUAAAAAGCAAGAAAUUAACAGAAACGGUAAGACAGUAAGACUGUGGGAGGAGGAGAGCUCUCCAAGGGCUGGGAAGCUGGGCUGCAGGAGGGCUGGAAAGAUGAGCAGAACUUUUAAAAGCAGAAAGCAAGGGGCGGGAGUGGAUAGCAGUAUGAAUAGAGAUGAGAACUGGGGAUAGGCUGACUGUAUCCUGCAGGCUGGGCAGGAACCAUCUCAGCUGAAGUAUCUCUGGAGGGAAAGCAGGAGGUAGGGAGAUGGGGCUGGCUGGUGUUUUAACCUUUACCUGUGGGCAGUGGGGACACACUGGUGAUGCUUCAGCAAGGGAGUGACCAUUAUGGGGUUCCUGGGUCUCGUGUAUAACCCUUUGAGGAAGCGUGGGCCGGCAGAAUUGUGUAGUCCCAAACUCCUGUCUACAGGUCCCCUCCUGCCCAUCACAGACUGGUCUGCCGUAGAACGAGAAGAGCACAGACAGUAUAGUGAGCCUUUAAUAGAGCUCAGUGCUUUCCAUUCAAAGUGCUGUCCUUUAUUCUAAGAUUAUGUUCUAUCAGUCAAGAGUCUAAGUAGAGGGAUAAAUUAGGAGGUUGAGAUUAACAUAUAUACACUGCUAUAUAUAAAGGAGAUAACCAACAAGGACCUACUGUAUAGCACAGAGACUAUACUCAAUAUUUUAUAAUAACCUAUAAGGGAAAAGAGUCUCUCGAG
ensembl:lncRNA